rnacentral:rRNA from 1 species
CCUACGGGUGGCAGCAGUGAGGAAUAUUGGUCAAUGGGCGCGAGCCUGAACCAGCCAAGUCGCGUGAGGGAUGAAGGUUCUAUGGAUCGUAAACCUCUUUUAUAAGGGAAUAAAGUGUGGGACGUGUCCUAUUUUGUAUGUACCUUAUGAAUAAGGAUCGGCUAACUCCGUGCCAGCAGCCGCGGUAAUACGGAGGAUCCGAGCGUUAUCCGGAUUUAUUGGGUUUAAAGGGAGCGUAGGCGGGUUGUUAAGUCAGUUGUGAAAGUUUGCGGCUCAACCGUAAAAUUGCAGUUGAUACUGGCAUCCUUGAGUACAGGAGAGGUAGGCGGAAGGCGUGGUGUAGCGGGGAAAUGCUUAGAUAUAACGAAGAACUCCGAUUGCGAAGGCAGCCUGCUGGACUGUAACUGACGCUGAUGCUCGAAAGUGUGGGUAUCAAACAGGAUUAGAUACCCGGGUAGUC